GAUGAACGCUGGCGGUAUGCUUAACACAUGCAAGUCGAACGGUCACUUUGGUGAUAGUGGCGGACGGGUGAGUAACGCGUGAGAAUCUGUCUUCAGGUCGGGGACAACAGUUAGAAAUGACUGCUAAUACCGGAUAUGCCUUAUGGUGAAAGAUUUAUUGCCUGAAAGAGAGCUCGCGUCAGAUUAGCUAGUAGGUGGUGUAAGAGACUACCUAGGUGACGAUCUGUAGCUGGUCUGAGAGGACGAUCAGCCACACUGGAACUGAGACACGGUCCAGACUCCUACGGGAGGCAGCAGUGGGGAAUUUUCCGCAAUGGGCGAAAGCCUGACGGAGCAAUACCGCGUUGAGGGACGAAGGCUUUUGGGUCGUAAACCUCUUUUCUCAAGGAAGAUUUAGACGGUACUUGAGGAAUAAGCAUCGGCUAACUCUGUGCCAGCAGCCGCGGUAAU
rnacentral:rRNA from 1 species